GAUGAACGCUGGCGACGUGCCUAAUACAUGCAAGUCGAGCGAAUGGAUUAAGAGCUUGCUCUUAUGAAGUUAGCGGCGGACGGGUGAGUAACACGUGGGUAACCUGCCCAUAAGACUGGGAUAACUCCGGGAAACCGGGGCUAAUACCGGAUAACAUUUUGAACCGCAUGGUUCGAAAUUGAAAGGCGGCUUCGGCUGUCACUUAUGGAUGGACCCGCGUCGCAUUAGCUAGUUGGUGAGGUAACGGCUCACCAAGGCAACGAUGCGUAGCCGGCCUGAGAGGGUGAUCGGACACACUGGGACUGAGACACGGCCCAGACUCCUACGGGAGGCAGCAGUAGGGAAUCUUCCGCAAUGGACGAAAGUCUGACGGAGCAACGCCGCGUGAGUGAUGAAGGCUUUCGGGUCGUAAAACUCUGUUGUUAGGGAAGAACAAGUGCUAGUUGAAUAAGCUGGCACCUUGACGGUACCUAGCCAGAAAGCCACGGCUAACUACGUGCCAGCCGCCGCGGUAA
rnacentral:rRNA from 1 species